rnacentral:rRNA from 1 species
AGUGAACGCUGGCGGUAGGCCUAACACAUGCAAGCCGAACGGCAGCACAGGAGAGCUUGCUCUCUGGGUGGCGAGUGGCGGACGGGUGAGGAAUACACCGGAAUCUACUUUUUCGUGGGGGAUAACGUAGGGAAACUUACGCUGAUACCGCAUACGACCUACGGGUGAAAGCAGGGGAUCUUCGGACCUUGCGCGAUUGAAUGAGCCGAUGUCGGAUUAGCUAGUUGGCGGGGUAAAGGCCCACCAAGGCGACGAUCCGUAGCUGGUCUGAGGGGAGGAUCAGCCACACUGGAGCUGAGACACGGUCCAGACGCCUACGGGAGGCAGCAGUGGGGAAUAUUGGACAAUGGGCGCAAGCCUGAUCCAGCCAUACCGCGUGGGUGAAGAAGGCCUUCGGGUUGUAAAGCCCUUUUGUUGGGAAAGAAAUCCAGCUGGUUAAUACCCGGUUGGGAUGACGGUACCCAAAGAAUAAGCACCGGCUAACUUCGUGCCAGCCGCCGCCGUAA